rnacentral:rRNA from 2 species
ACAUUUGAGUGAGUGGCGAACUGGUGAGUAACACGUGGGAAACCUGCCCAGAAGCGGGGGAUAACACCUGGAAACAGAUGCUAAUACCGCAUAACAACUUGGACCGCAUGGUCCGAGUUUGAAAGAUGGCUUCGGCUAUCACUUUUGGAUGGUCCCGCGGCGUAUUAGCUAGAUGGUGGGGUAACGGCUCACCAUGGCAAUGAUACGUAGCCGACCUGAGAGGGUAAUCGGCCACAUUGGGACUGAGACACGGCCCAAACUCCUACGGGAGGCAGCAGUAGGGAAUCUUCCACAAUGGACGAAAGUCUGAUGGAGCAACGCCGCGUGAGUGAAGAAGGGUUUCGGCUCGUAAAACUCUGUUGUUAAAGAAGAACAUAUCUGAGAGUAACUGUUCAGGUAUUGACGGUAUUUAACCAGAAAGCCACGGCUAACUACGUGCCAGCAGCCGCGGUAAUACGUAGGUGGCAAGCGUUGUCCGGAUUUAUUGGGCGUAAAGCGAGCGCAGGCGGUUUUUUAAGUCUGAUGUGAAAGCCUUCGGCUCAACCGAAGAAGUGCAUCGGAAACUGGGAAACUUGAGUGCAGAAGAGGACAGUGGAACUCCAUGUGUAGCGGUGAAAUGCGUAGAUAUAUGGAAGAACACCAGUGGCGAAGGCGGCUGUCUGGUCUGUAACUGACGCUGAGGCUCGAAAGUAUGGGUAGCAAACAGGAUUAGAUACCCUGGUAGUCCAUACCGUAAACGAUGAAUGCUAAGUGUUGGAGGGUUUCCGCCCUUCAGUGCUGCAGCUAACGCAUUAAGCAUUCCGCCUGGGGAGUACGGCCGCAAGGCUGAAACUCAAAGGAAUUGACGGGGGCCCGCACAAGCGGUGGAGCAUGUGGUUUAAUUCGAAGCUACGCGAAGAACCUUACCAGGUCUUGACAUACUAUGCAAAUCUAAGAGAUUAGACGUUCCCUUCGGGGACAUGGAUACAGGUGGUGCAUGGUUGUCGUCAGCUCGUGUCGUGAGAUGUUGGGUUAAGUCCCGCAACGAGCGCAACCCUUAUUAUCAGUUGCCAGCAUUAAGUUGGGCACUCUGGUGAGACUGCCGGUGACAAACCGGAGGAAGGUGGGGAUGACGUCAAAUCAUCAUGCCCCUUAUGACCUGGGCUACACACGUGCUACAAUGGAUGGUACAACGAGUUGCGAACUCGCGAGAGUAAGCUAAUCUCUUAAAGCCAUUCUCAGUUCGGAUUGUAGGCUGCAACUCGCCUACAUGAAGUCGGAAUCGCUAGUAAUCGCGGAUCAGCAUGCCGCGGUGAAUACGUUCCCGGGCCUUGUACACACCGCCCGUCACACCAUGAGAGUUUGUAACACCCAAAGUCG